GACGAACCGUGCGAACGUUGUUCGGAUUCACUGGGCUUAAAGGGCGCGUAGGCGGGUCAGCAAGUCCGGGGUGAAAGCUUUCGGCUCAACCGGAAAAGGGCCUUGGAUACUGCUGGUCUGGAGGAAGGUAGGGGCGUGUGGAACUUCCGGUGGAGCGGUGAAAUGCGUAGAUAUCGGGAGGAACACCUGUGGCGAAAGCGGCGCACUGGACCAUAACUGACGCUGAGGCGCGAAAGCUAGGGGAGCAAACAGG
rnacentral:rRNA from 1 species